AGUACCUUUGAGUUAAACAAGAAAAUAUGAGUGGGUAAUAAAUUUGGGUUUUCUUAUAUCCAGUUUGCAGCGGUGGUACACCUGUAUUACACACCUAUUUGGAGCACUUGUGAAACAGCUGUUAAUAACCUGUACUACAGGAAAUGCUAAAUGAAGUUCUUCAGGCUGAAGGGAAAUAACACCAAAUGGAAACCCAGGUGUUCAGGAAGGCUGAAGAGCAGCAGAAAGGAAAGGACCAAGAGCCUCACCUAAACUAUCAUCCUUCCAAAAGUGGGUCUAAUAGCAGGAAGAGGGACUGAAAGGGAGAAAGAAGAGAAUAAUACAAUGCUUGUUGAAAGGCCGACAUGGGUGUUUGGAAGAGAUGUUACGGAGCUAAACUGCUGGCAAAAUUGGAAGUAGGCAACUUCGCUUUUGAUACCAGUUACCACCAUUUCGUCCUCCAGUAAAUGUAAACUUCUUAAAUGUUUGUCGCA